AUCUAGCUGACUAGUACCAAAUAGGACGAAACGUGCGUCCUGAAU
rnacentral:hammerhead_ribozyme from 1 species